rnacentral:misc_RNA from 1 species
GUGAAAUUACAAUACAAGUAAGAUUUAUACUCUAAGAUUGUAAAAUUAAAGCGCAUCUUAGCAAAUUUUCUCAUAUGUCUUGGAAAAUUACUCAAAAUGUGUUAUAAUUUGAAUUCAUACACACUGAUUAGUAAUUUAGCCAUCUCAUGUUGAGUAAAAAAAUGAUAAUUUUACAAAAAAUUUUUACAGUGUAUAUAAUUCUAUUGUCCACGUCACGACCACGUUGCAA